GCGAGAGUGGCGGAAUUGGUAGACGCACGGGCUUUAGGUGCCCGCGGGCGCAAGCCUGUCAGGGUUCGAGUCCCUGCUCUCGCACCA
rnacentral:tRNA from 1 species